rnacentral:sRNA from 1 species
GCCAGAGGAUAAGCUAGAUGCUGACAACCGUCUUGACUCACUAUUCCUAAAGAUCCUUUAAAGUAGGGCAUCUCCGUCUUCAAUGACCUCAUAGCAUCAUGAGGAAAGACGAGCAAACCAAGAACUUCUGGAACUUCAUAGGCCAAGGUCUCACCCUGUGGACGUCAGCCUCAGUGCAGGUGGCUGUGCCUGAGACUCACCGAUCCACUAGAAAGAGAAAGCAGUGGACGGCUUCUACAAUCACCGUCCUCCCUCCCUCCCUCCCUGGCCGGAAUGAUAACAGCUAAUGAGAGUUUUGACAUCUCUGUGAAUUUUACUCAUUAUCCCCCCUUUACCUGCUGUUAUUACUGAUAACAAGAAAUGGGUUGUUUUUUUUCCAA